rnacentral:SRP_RNA from 1 species
CUGUGCUAGACGGGGAGUUAGCGGUGCCCUGUAACCUGCAAUCCGCUAUAGCAGGGUCGAAUUCCCACCCUGAGGUCCGCUCGCACUUGUCUACUUCCCCGGCAAGCGGUGUUGAUAGCCCAAGUCCUGCGCAAUAGAUCCGUGCCAAACCCCGUCAGGACCGGAAGGUAGCAGCGGUAGGCACUUCGUCUAUGUGCCGCAGGGGAGCUUGGCUGGAGCUGGCUGCCGGAAAGGGGCAGGCGCAGAGAGAUCGAUGGUGGGUGCACAG